UAAAAAAGAAAAAGAGGUUUCCCUCUCUCUCUCUCUCUAUAUAAAACUCAGCCUGGCUUUGAUAAAACCAUGAAGUGGGGGAGUCAACAAUGAAGAGGUCUUCCUAUAGUAAUAAUAAUGCAGUUUUCUUUUCGGUGCUUGUGGUGUCUAUACUUUUAUCAAUGGCGAGUUCAGGUGAUCUCUUAGCUGAAGCCACAAUUCCCGACUUCUCAGCUCUCCAAGAAAAUUUAGUCAGUUUAAAUUUGGCACGUCGAAAUCUAAAGACAGAUCCUCCAAGCACGUUGCAUAGCCCAACACAAGCCGAGCGCCCAGGCCAACAUAACUAAGUCUUCCGCAAGAUUAGGUCCAUGCACUUAAUUUCUGCUAAUUAAUAUCAUCUUGCAAUUGUAUUUUUUUAUGUUUAAGAUGUUAUAUGUUUUAUAUAAAUUUUGAUGCUUUAAUAAUCUAUAUGAUUUCUUGUUGGUGUAUACGUUAUGUAAUUGUAUCACACCUAAAAUUAUUAUGUCUAGUAAGAGCAUGUAUGCCAAGAGAAAUAAAUCCUCUUUUUUUUCUUAAUUCGUUGAUAUUUGAAGUUCUCAUAUUGAAGUGAAUUUGUUAGAAAUGAUCUUAUUUUUAAAA